UAUAGGCACGUGUGGGAGGACACUGUGGUCUGGAGAGAGCCCACAGAGUUCUGCUUCCAAGGAUUUCACUUCUCCAUCCUUCAAACAAUAAUUGCACUCACUGCCAGCCAAGAAAACACUGUGCAUGCUCCAAAAUGAGAUACUUGUGGGAAGCCAUGAAGGUGGCAACUGGAGUCCAUGCAUGAGAAAUUACAGACCACAAGGAAAUGGAUGGGCAAACCUGGAACGUUCUGUAUUUGCCAGAGUCACAGAUGCAGGUUACAGCUGGUGAAAUGGCCAGUGUGAUGAAACCUUGCAACCUGACCCAUCAGCUGAACACCUCUGAGCUCCUCUGAACCCUUGCAAGGCAUUUGGCCAAUUACUGCAACCUUCUCAAGAUAGGCAUCUGCCUCUUCUGCAUGUGCAACCACUGUGAUACCAGAAUAAUCCAAGUCUUUGGAAACUGUGCUUAGGCUAGGCCUGUGAGAAGAGAGGAACCACUUCUGCACUCAGUCGUACUUGUUACUGAUCAACCUGUAAAAACGACUCCUGAAACAAUCCCUGAAACAGGGAAGCAUUACUGCUCCACUUUCCUAAAAUGUCACAUGCAAAGCUGACAAACACAAAAGACUCCUCCGUGUCCUUUGCAGGACUCUGACAUGAAAACCACCUUCAAAUCUUCCCUGCCAUCUGAGGGAGAGUCAGGAUGCAGGAAAUUUUCUGGUGUGUCACUCCUCUCCACUAUGGACAUGGACAAGAGAACUGUAGGCCACACAAGAUGCCGGUGGAGGCCGUGCUGUGUUCAGAGGGACAACCCAGGAGCUCGCUGUAGACUGUUCCUGCUGCCCCCUCCUCAGGACCCACUCUCAAGAGAGUUCCUCCCAAUAACCAAAGAGGAGCUUGCAUGGCUCAUCCUGGAGGGUGAGGAUGAGACAGACUACAGUGUGUGCACCGAGCACUCUCAUCACACCAGACAGCACCCCUGGAUGGCAGCCAUGGAGAGGAGUGACUAGAGGCUAAAGCUCACAGCCUCCUCAGUGCCCACGAUCUCACUCAUUGCAUGAGAAGGCAGGUGCUGCUCUCCCCCCUCUCUGGACAUAAGGUUCCCAAUAGCCCCACUGCCCUGUUAAAUAAGCCAGUAAAGUAACAAUGCUUGACGCCAGGGCAUGUAAAACGAGUCUCAGGGGGAGCUGGAGUCUUUCCUUCUCUCAGGCCUUCCAGUGGUGUCAGGCCCAGGGUGUGCACAUAUUGAAUCUUCUGGGAAAUGGUGACACCUGCUUCUGCUGGGCUAGACCAGCACCCUGGAACAGACUGCCCAGAGGCAUUGUGGUUUCUCCAUUCUUGGACACACCCAAAACUGAACUGCACGUAACCCUGAGAAACGUCUUCUACCGGGAGUUGCACUGAGCACAGGACCUCCUAAAGCCUCCUCCACACUGUUUUUUGGAGAAAGUUCUUCACAAAGCAGACAGUAGGGUGUUUUCACUGAAUUGUGUCUUCAGUGGUGAGAAAGAGACAAAAGUUUGGGUCCUUAUGCACAACUGUACCAGGCAGCAGCUUCUCUGUCAGUUCCUCCAGAGGUCCUGCACGCUCCUUUCCACUCAUCUCACCCAUGUAUUUCCACCCUUCUCACCAAGCUUCCCACCAGGCAGAUAAGUAUUAUCUGGAGGAAGGUUUUGGGAAGGUGCUUGAGCACACUGAAGUGAGAAAGACAAAUGAGAUUUUUCCUCAGCAGAUUAGCAUGAACUAUGAAUGAUCCUUACCUGCACUGGAGCCAGGACCAGCUCAGUUUGGGCCAACAAGUGCUCAUGAGGAAGGGGCAUCAGCCCUCCAGUGCCUCAGGAGGAUGAGGAGGUUGGGAGGAGCUGGGGAGGUGCUUGCUUAGAAGUAAAAGGCAGUGCUGGUGGCAGGUGUUUUUUAAAGAUGAGGACAGGUCCAAUUUCACCAGAUCAAGAGAAGUGAGGAAGGGAGAAAAAACGUGUAGCUAGAGAGGCACAGGACCUACUAACAGGAGAGACAAACUGCAAUUCUCUUUUCUCAUUUCCUGUCCACAACUCUGCUCAUCCCUGUGAAUCUGUACCUGGAUGGGAGGCCUUCUCAGAAGCAGCUGUAGACUUAUUUGCCUUCUUUUUCUUUUCAUUCCCAGUGGGAUGGAAAGCAAAUAAUAAUAAAAAAAAUACUAAUGGGAAAAAAAUAAAGAAAAAAGAGAGAAAUGAAACCCUGAUGCAGCAUUGCUCACCGCUCCCUGGUUUGUGCCCAGCCCAGCUCUGGAUGGCAAUCAGUCCUUUCUGGAUAACUCCUUAGAAAAGAAAUCUUGAAAGCUGCCACCAAACUGGACUGAAAAACACUGUCUCCUUCACCCAUGGACAGGAAAAUCUGGAGCCUUCCUUUGUUGAAUGCAGAGACUGAGCAGAGCCAAUUACCUGCAGUGCCAAAUAGUGUUACAGCAAGUCUUUGGGCAGAAUAAAUAUAAAAUCCUCCAAGUCAGCUACGACAUAUUUCAGGCAUAUUUAGUCAUUGAAGCUGAAUAUCCCCAGCUGUGUUAAACUGUUAAGCUGUUGAGUUUCCGUUUGCAAACCACUAACAAAAAGUAAGCUAAAAUAGUCUUGCUGGGCCUGCUCUUGCCUAGCACUGCUGAGGAAAAUGAAACUUAAAGCCCAGAUCGUUUAAUGUUUCUUGAGAAAUCACCCCAAGUCCUCCAUGCUGAUGAUGUGUUCCAGUACCUUCCCCCUAGAGAAGAUUUUUGUUUAGCAGUGUCUACAGAUGUGAAUCCUUAAAUAGGGACAAGUGCUAAGUUUAUUGCAUUACAGAUUCUCUUUGACCUUACUCUGCUGGGUUACUGGUGUGGUUGUGCUGAACAGACCAGCUCUGUGCCCAGGGAAUAGUUUUGGUCCUGCAUUUCCUUAAUGAGAGAGAUCUCUUUUCCUGUCUCUUGCAUGAAACAGCAGUUUCUAGGCAGUAUUGACUUAAAAUCCUUUAUUUUUACAUGACUAACUAUAGCAGCUAAUCAUUUAUAAAGCUAAAUGGUUGAGAUUAUUGUGAGAGCUUGAAGUCCAAACUCCAUUUUUUUUAAACUGAACUGCAGCCUAUGCAGACCUGAAGACAAAAGCUCAGAGUGUGUAGGAGGGGAAUCAACAGGACCAACUAACAGACAAAUCUGUGAUUUCAGGCUAAUAUGGGGGAGUAUAAAUCUCCCUGAGCUUUUCGUUAUUUUGCUGUGAAGUGUUAGUGGGGGAGAGAUGUUUUCCCUCUUUUACCCUCCCUGGUGUGCACUGACCUGGGCACACCCGUGCCAGUGUCUUUUCAGCUGUCAUAGGCAUGCUGGAGGCAGGUGAUCCUCCGCCAAUGAAGACUGAUGCAGUGGGUUUUUUUCUUGAUGGAUGGCUUUUUAGCAAGGUCCCCUUAUGCUGUGGGGCCCAUGUGUGGCAAUUCAGGGAGUCUGGAUGGCCCAAGCCUGCUGGAGCUGUGCUGAAGCAGGGUGGCUCCUGGUGGCAAGAAUAAGGAGGAAGAGGAGAAGGAGGUGAGGAUUCAGGAGGCUUGAGGCCCUGCUUUCAGGCAGCAGUGGCUUCCUGUCUGCCAGGACAUGGCAGAGAUGCCCAGCUUCAGAGCUCCCUGUCGCCUGGGGAAAGGAGGAACCCAUGCUCUAGUGAGGGUCCUGUCACUGCUGAAGCAAGAGCUCUGUGUGAAGUUUGACCCAGUGGAGCAGUGGGUUUCUCUUUUCCAGCCAUAUUUCUCUGAAGCUCCAAGAGCAAGUGAUGCUGGCCACUGUGCUGUGUG